GCCACGCCCGCUACAGAAACUACAAAGGAAGUUGACGGGGGCCCGGCACAAGCGGUGGAGUAUGUGGUUUAAUUCGAUGCAACGCGAAGAACCUUACCUGGUCUUGACAUCCCGGAGACCCUUAGGAAACUAGGGGGUGCUUCCAUCUGGAAGAAUCUGGAGACAGGUGCUGCAUGGCUGUCGUCAGCUCGUGUCGUGAGAUGUUGGGUUAAGUCCCGCAACGAGCGCAACCCUUGCCUUUAGUUGCCAGCAGUUCGGCUGGGCACUCUAAAGGGACUGCCGGUGUUAAACCGGAGGAAGGUGGGGAUGACGUCAAGUCCUCAUGGCCUUUAUGACCAGGGCUACACACGUACUACAAUGGCCGAUACAAAGGGCAACGACACUGCGAGGUGAAGCCAAUCCCGUAAAAUCGGUCUCAGUCCGGAUUGGAGUCUGCAACUCGACUCCAUGAAGUUGGAAUCGCUAGUAAUCGUGGAUCAGCAUGCCACGGUGAAUACGUUCCCGGGCCUU
rnacentral:rRNA from 1 species